rnacentral:rRNA from 1 species
GGCUCCCCCCAAGGGCCAGUUAAUACGGUAGCCCGCCCCUGGAAGAGGGUAAUUCGGCCCCACUUUGGGACUUGAGACCCCGGCCCCAGAUUUCCUACGGGAAGGCAGCCAGUAGGGAAUUCUUCCACCAAUGGACGGCAAGUUCUGAUGGAACCAACCCCCGCGUGAAGGGAAGAAAGGGUUUUCGCUUCGUAAAAGUCUUGUUGUUAAAGAAGAACCGUGGGUAAGAGUAACUGUUUACCCCAGUGACCGGUAUUUAACCAGAAAGCCACGGCUAACUACGUGCCAGCAGCCGCGGUAAUACGUAGGUGGCAAGCGUUAUCCGGAUUUAUUGGGCGUAAAGCGAGCGCAGGCGGUCUUUUAAGUCUAAUGUGAAAGCCUUCGGCUCAACCGAAGAAGUGCAUUGGAAACUGGGAGACUUGAGUGCAGAAGAGGACAGUGGAACUCCAUGUGUAGCGGUGAAAUGCGUAGAUAUAUGGAAGAACACCAGUGGCGAAGGCGGCUGUCUGGUCUGCAACUGACGCUGAGGCUCGAAAGCAUGGGUAGCGAACAGGAUUAGAUACCCUGGUAGUCCAUGCCGUAAACGAUGAUUACUAAGUGUUGGAGGGUUUCCGCCCUUCAGUGCUGCAGCUAACGCAUUAAGUAAUCCGCCUGGGGAGUACGACCGCAAGGUUGAAACUCAAAAGAAUUGACGGGGGCCCGCACAAGCGGUGGAGCAUGUGGUUUAAUUCGAAGCUACGCGAAGAACCUUACCAGGUCUUGACAUCUUCUGACAGUCUAAGAGAUUAGAGGUUCCCUUCGGGGACAGAAUGACAGGUGGUGCAUGGUUGUCGUCAGCUCGUGUCGUGAGAUGUUGGGUUAAGUCCCGCAACGAGCGCAACCCUUAUUACUAGUUGCCAGCAUUAAGUUGGGCACUCUAGUGAGACUGCCGGUGACAAACCGGAGGAAGGUGGGGACGACGUCAAAUCAUCAUGCCCCUUAUGACCUGGGCUACACACGUGCUACAAUGGAUGGUACAACGAGUCGCGAAACCGCGAGGUUAAGCUAAUCUCUUAAAACCAUUCUCAGUUCGGACUGUAGGCUGCAACUCGCCUACACGAAGUCGGAAUCGCUAGUAAUCGCGGAUCAGCAUGCCGCGGUGAAUACGUUCCCGGGCCUUGUACACACCGCCCGUCACACCAUGAGAGUUUGUAACACCCAAAG